rnacentral:rRNA from 1 species
GAUGAACGCUGGCGGUAUGCUUAACACAUGCAAGUCGAACGGACUCUUCGGAGUUAGUGGCGGACGGGUGAGUAACGCGUGAGAAUCUGGCUUUGGGUUCGGGACAACCACUGGAAACGGUGGCUAAUACCGGAUGUGCCGAGAGGUAAAAGAGAAAUUGCCUGAAGAUGAGCUCGCGUCUGAUUAGCUAGUUGGUGAGGUAAAGGCUCACCAAGGCAGCGAUCAGUAGCUGGUCUGAGAGGAUGACCAGCCACACUGGGACUGAGACACGGCCCAGACGCCUACGGGAGGCAGCAGUGGGGAAUUUUCCGCAAUGGGCGAAAGCCUGACGGAGCCAUACCGCGUGAGGGAAGAAGGCUCUUGGGUUGUAAACCUCUUUUCUUAGGGAAGAACAAAAUGACGGUACCUAAGGAAUCAGCAUCGGCUAACUCCGUG